CUUCAAUCUCUAGCACCAGGGACUGGAUGUCAUUAUCAGUGAUUCUUUUGAUGUGGCCAUUCCGCACCUACAACGAAGAAAAUUAAACCAAUUAGGACUGAAAUAUUUGGCAACAACUUUGUUAAGAUUUUGAAGGCUUAGGGGCGCCUGGGUGGCGCAGUCGGUUAAGCGUCCGACUUCAGCCAGGUCACGAUCUCGCGGUCCGUGAGUUCGAGCCCCGCGUCGGGCUCUGGGCUGAUGGCUCAGAGCCUGGAGCCUGUUUCCGAUUCUGUGUCUCCCUCUCUCUCUGCCCCUCCCCCGUUCAUGCUCUGUCUCUCUCUGUCCCAAAAAUAAAUAAAUGUUGAAAAAAAAAAAAAAAGAAAAAAAGAUUUUGAAGGCUGAAUGGGACCAUUUAAAGAAAACCACAGUAGCUCUUGGGGCAUAACACAGAACUUUGGGACACGGUAUACUGAGCUUAUCUGUAAGUAGGCCAUGAUAUUACCUCUAUAUAAGGUCCCAUCAGCCACCACAGGAAUUGCAGGUGACUUGGCAAUCUAUAAAUUAGGAUAAAUUUCUUCCCAAAGAAAUCAACUCGAGGGGCACUUGGGUGGCUCAGUCAGUUAAGUGUCUGACUCUUGGUUUUGGCUCAGGUCAUGAUCUCAGUUUGCGAGUUCGAGCCCCCUGUUGGGUUCUGUGCUGGCAGAAUGGAGUGUACUUGUGAAUCUUUCUCUCCUUCUCUCUCAAAAAAUAAACAUAAAAAAGAAAAAGAAAUCAACUCGAUUCAGCUAACAUUUACUCAGUGCCGACUAUGCACUAGGAACAUUCAUAUACACUCUCUGACUUAAUCCUAACAACAAAAAUCAUAAGGUAGGUGGUAUUUUACACAUGUGGACACUGACAUCCGGGCAGUGCAAAUGAGGACCCUAAGUGACAGAGUCAGGAUUAAUGACCAGGCUUUCCACACUGUCUUAUAUACUUCUUCGGUCAAAAAGGCCCAAUCCUGGGUGCCACUGGAAGGGCACCUCCACUGGGAGGGCAGCAACCAGAAAAUGAGAGCACUACUCCCCAGUAUCAAGCAUCAUUUUUAUCUUCUACACUGCUUAUUACAAUGCUCCUACUUCCUGCUUCCUUAUUUUUUCCCUAAAUUUCAAAUUUUUAAAGAAUUCAAGUCUCAUCGUUGCUGCACACAAAACCCUUCUUCAGCGUUUCAGCCCACACCAACCUCUCUUCUUUCUGAUUUGUCUGUCUGGCUCAUGUAGCCUAGACCAUAUAAUUUAGCACUUCAUCCUACAUGGUUCUGUGUCAUCUGCUGCAUAUGUAGGAGGUACAAUAUGAAGAGAGAUCAAUAUUCAAUAUGGAUUUCCCCUCUUAAAAUAUUCAGGAAAGCACAAUUACCUUCAAGCAAUGAGCGCUUAAGCACCUAAUAUGGACACAGCAGAGAAACGCAAAGGCAUUUUUGACACAGGGCUGGACUAUUAGGGCUGAAUGUAUUAACACAUGAAAAACAUCAACAAGAUUCGGUACAGGAUGCACCUAAAGCAUGUGACCUUUUUCCAGGCAUAGUGAAAAUGGCUGUAUUGACAUGUCGUAUUGACUCAAUCCUUUGGCUUUCCAGUAGACUUGCAUAUAAAGAGAGAACAUGGUGUCAAGUCUGACUGAGAGUUGUACUUUCAAAAUGGAUUAUUAAUAAUACGGCAUUUUGUUUUUAGGCAUCAGUCUCUGACCUCUGGUACUGUGAAUUUGAUCCACUUGAGGUGUGCUUGGUGUUCCCAUGGGACAUUUGAUAUCACUGCCUAUCUUUUUCUGCGAGAUGUAACUGAGUCUUGUCUCCUUACAAAAGUAUAAGCUCAAGGGUAGGGAUCAAGUAGUAAGCAUCAUUUGCAUCUUCUACAAAGCUUAGUACUAUGUGAGGCAUAAACUAAGC
rnacentral:lncRNA from 1 species